CUGCUAAUAAAUGUUUUAUUUUUUUAAACUGUACAUCUUUUCUCUAAUAAACACUGACGGGUGUAUUCGAACACUAUUCGAACACUUCUCUCCUCCUGGGUUAUGAUUAAUUAAUCAUUUCUUCUCACAGAUCCACACAGGAGAUUAAAGCUCAUGAUUAACGGAGGAUUUUCACACAAUAUUCCACUGCAGAACAUGAAAAGGAAUUGCAUUGAACUUCACCAUUAAAGGACGUUUGGGAGGCGGCUUUAAUGUUAGGGUUAGGAGGCGGGGUUAAGGGCAGGGUUAGGAUUAAGAGGCGGGGUUAGGGUUAGGAGGUGGGGUUACGGUUAGGGUUAGGGGCCGGGAUUAAGGGCAGGGUUAGGAUUAAGAGGCGGGGUUAGGGUUAGGAGGUGGGGUUACGGUUAGGGUUAGGAGGCGGGGUUAGGGGCAGGGUUAGGAUUAGGAGGCGGGUUAGGGUUAGGAGGUGGGGUUACGGUUAGGGUAGGAGCCGGGAUUAAGGGCAGGGUUAGGAUUAAGAGGCAGGGUUAGGUUAGGAGGUGGGGUUACGGUUAGGGUUAGGAGGCGGGGUUUAGGGGCAGGGUUAGGAUUAAGAGGUGGGGUUAGGGUUAGGAGACUAAGGGGGAGGGGUUAAGGUUAUCUGUGGAGCAGGUGUGUAAAUAAGAUUGAGUUGAGAAAAGAGAGCGCUUGGAUUAGCUAGCGUGUUAGAUGAGUGGUAAGCGAGCAGAAGCCGUGUCAUUUCCUGUGCAUGAAGCAGCAAAUCCACACUGACACUACAACACCACCAUCGCUAACCGGCGUACAGAGAUCUUCUCAAAUUUGUUUUUACUAAUGUUCAUACUUCACUGUAACGUCACUGUGUCCUGUCUAUUAAAAAACUUAUUACAAUGAAUUAUGUUUAGACAAGCCACGCCCACUAGCAACAAUCCGGUAACGUAAGUGUGACCUGUCUAGACAUUUAAAAAAUGUUCUGAUUAAAAAUUCAUUCAAAUUAAAUUUUGUACACAGGCCACACCCACUACUGACAAUCCUGUAACAUGUACAUGAGAUGAGAGUGUGUGUGAGAGAGAGAGAGAGAGAGAUUAAAGAAGAGCACUGAGGGAGAAAAAAGUCUCAUGUCUAAGACUCAUAUGCGAUAAACAAUAUCAUUCAGGUCAUUCAACAGAAAAUGAAACCAGAUCACUGAUGUGA
ensembl:lncRNA